CGAUACAUAGGGGGACUGAGAGGUUAACCCCCCACACUGGUACUGAGACACGGACCAGACUCCUACGGGAGGCAGCAGUGAGGAAUAUUGGUCAAUGGACGCAAGUCUGAACCAGCCAUGCCGCGUGCAGGAUGACGGCUCUAUGAGUUGUAAACUGCUUUUGUACGAGGGUAAACGCAGAUACGUGUAUCUGUCUGAAAGUAUCGUACGAAUAAGGAUCGGCUAACUCCGUGCCAGCAGCCGCGGUAAUACGGAGGAUUCAAGCGUUAUCCGGAUUUAUUGGGUUUAAAGGGUGCGUAGGCGGUUUGAUAAGUUAGAGGUGAAAUUUCGGGGCUCAACCCUGAACGUGCCUCUAAUACUGUUGAGCUAGAGAGUAGUUGCGGUAGGCGGAAUGUAUGGUGUAGCGGUGAAAUGCUUAGAGAUCAUACAGAACACCGAUUGCGAAGGCAGCUUACCAAACUAUAUCUGACGUUGAGGCACGAAAGCGUGGGGAGCAAACAGGAUUAGAUACCCUGGUAGUCCACGCAGUAAACGAUGAUAACUCGUUGUCGGCGAUACACAGUCGGUGACUAAGCGAAAGCGAUAAGUUAUCCACCUGGGGAGUACGUUCGCAAGAAUGAAACUCAAAGGAAUUGACGGGGGCCCGCACAAGCGGAGGAACAUGUGGUUUAAUUCGAUGAUACGCGAGGAACCUUACCCGGGCUUGAAAGUUAGCGACGAUUCUUGAAAGAGGAUUUCCCUUCGGGGCGCGAAACUAGGUGCUGCAUGGUUGUCGUCAGCUCGUGCCGUGAGGUGUCGGGUUAAGUCCCAUAACGAGCGCAACCCCUACCGUUAGUUGCCAUCAGGUCAAGCUGGGCACUCUGGCGGGACUGCCGGUGUAAGCCGAGAGGAAGGUGGGGAUGACGUCAAAUCAGCACGGCCCUUACGUCCGGGGCUACACACGUGUUACAAUGGGGGGUACAGAAGGCAGCUACCUGGUGACAGGAUGCUAAUCCCAAAAGCCUCUCUCAGUUCGGAUCGAAGUCUGCAACCCGACUUCGUGAAGCUGGAUUCGCUAGUAAUCGCGCAUCAGCCAUGGCGCGGUGAAUACGUUCCCGGGCCUUGUACACACCGCCCGUCAAGCCAUG
rnacentral:rRNA from 1 species